rnacentral:rRNA from 1 species
UACGUAGGGUGCGAGCGUUAAUCGGAAUUACUGGGCGUAAAGCGUGCGCAGGCGGUUUUGUAAGCCAGAUGUGAAAGCCCCGGGCUUAACCUGGGAAUGGCAUUUGGGACUGCAAGGCUUGAGUGCGGCAGAGGAGACUGGAAUUCCCGGUGUAGCAGUGAAAUGCGUAGAUAUCGGGAGGAAUACCGAUGGCGAAGGCAGGUCUCUGGGCCGAUACUGACGCUGAGGAGCGAAAGCAUGGGUAGCGAACAGG